CUUGAAUAAAAUAAGAGGUCCAGCCUGCCCAGUGAAAUUAUUCAACGGCCGCGGUAUCCUAACCGUGCGAAGGUAGCGUAAUCACUUGUUCUUUAAAUGAGGACUAGUAUGAAUGGCACCACGAGGGUUCUACUGUCUCCUUUUUUUAAUCAGUGAAACUAAUCUCCCCGUGAAGAAGCGGGGAUCUUUAUAUAAGACGAGAAGACCCUAUGGAGCUUUAAACAACCAACAUUUGCUACACCAUAACAUUUCCCCUAAAAGAAGUAUAGCAUUAUGAUUAUUAGUUUUCGAUUGGGGUGAUCACGGAGUAAAAUAUAACCUCCAUGCCGAAAGGGUUCUUACCCUGAGCAAAAAGCCACAGCUUUAAACACUAAAAAAUUAACGCAGUUUGACCCAAUAUUUUGAUCAACGAAC
rnacentral:rRNA from 1 species